rnacentral:rRNA from 1 species
UACGGGGGGGGCAAGCGUUGUUCGGAAUUACUGGGCGUAAAGGGUUUGUAGGUGGCCAACUAAGUCAGACGUGAAAUCCCUCAGCUUAACUGGGGAACUGCGUCUGAGACUGGAUGGCUCGAGUGCAGGAGAGGAACGCGGAAUUCCAGGUGUAGCGGUGAAAUGCGUAGAUAUCUGGAGGAACACCAAUGGCGAGGGCAGCACUCUGGGACGUGACUGACGCUGAGACGCGAAAGCGUGGGGAGCAAACAGG